AGAAUCAACGCUGGCGGCGUGCCUAACACAUGCAAGUCGAACGAGAAAGUGGAGCAAUCCACAAGUAAAGUGGCGCACGGGUGAGUAACACGUGACUAACCUACCCUUGAGUGGGGGAUAACCUAGGGAAACCUGGGCUAAUACCGCAUAAUACCUACGGGUCAAAGGAGCAAUUCGCUUAAGGAGGGGGUCGCGGCCGAUUAGUUAGUUGGCGGGGUAAUGGCCCACCAAGACGAUGAUCGGUAUCCGGCCUGAGAGGGCGCACGGACACACUGGAACUGAAACACGGUCCAGACUCCUACGGGAGGCAGCAGUGGGGAAUAUUGGACAAUGGGCGCAAGCCUGAUCCAGCCAUGCCGCGUGGAUGAUGAAGGCCUUAGGGUUGUAAAGUCCUUUUAACGGGAAGAUAAUGACGGUACCGUAGAAUAAGCCCGGCUAACUUCGCGCCAGCAGCCGC
rnacentral:rRNA from 1 species